UACGAAGGGGGCUAGCGUUGCUCGGAAUCACUGGGCGUAAAGCGCACGUAGGCGGAUUGUUAAGUCAGGGGUGAAAUCCUGGAGCUCAACUCCAGAACUGCCUUUGAUACUGGCGAUCUCGAGUCCGGGAGAGGUGAGUGGAACUGCGAGUGUAGAGGUGAAAUUCGUAGAUAUUCGCAAGAACACCAGUGGCGAAGGCGGCUCACUGGCCCGGUACUGACGCUGAGGUGCGGAAAGCGUGGGGAGCAACAGG
rnacentral:rRNA from 1 species